rnacentral:tRNA from 1 species
GGGGUUGUGGCUCAGUGGUAGAGUGCUCGCCUAGCAUGUGUGAGCCCCUGGGUUCGAUCCUCAGCACCA